UUUUUUUUCAGCCCCUCUUGGAAUUUUGAUAGAAUGUUCUAGAUGGUAUUCCAAAUGAAAUGAAAAUC